rnacentral:lncRNA from 1 species
GCUAAAAGAACUACAUAUACUCGUCAUAACUAAGAACAUGAAGGUUAUACAUAUACUCUUUCACUUGUUAAAGAAAGUUUAGGUAUAAAAAGGUUUAGGUAAGUUAGAAAUCAAAACUACCAAAGGUAAAAGAAAACUUCAAAAUUCAAAUAGCAAUAAUCUAUAAAAGUACUUGUAGAUCACACAUCAAAUAAAUCUUUACUUCAACAUUAAGAGUUGAAUUCACGUCUCUCUUAGUAAUAUGGAUCAACUUCUUAGGAUCAACUUCUUUACUUCUACUGAUCACAAUACUGAAUUUUUUCAUCCCACUUUGUCACUAGUCCAUUUCAAUGCUGACUCCGUUUUCAUCAAUGCUGAUGCUCGCCAUGUCAAGAAAGGGGAUGCUUUACUUUUCAAUAAAUCAAACAUGGAAAAAGACAAAAAGUUCAAAAUGUGACCUUUUGAAAAGGAUGAAUCAACU